rnacentral:rRNA from 1 species
UACGUAGGUGGCGAGCGUUGUCCGGAUUUACUGGGCGUAAAGGGAGCGUAGGCGGACUUUUAAGUGAGAUGUGAAAUACUCGGGCUCAACUUGAGUGCUGCAUUUCAAACUGGAAGUCUAGAGUGCAGGAGAGGAGAAUGGAAUUCCUAGUGUAGCGGUGAAAUGCGUAGAGAUUAGGAAGAACACCAGUGGCGAAGGCGGUUCUCUGGACUGUAACUGACGCUGGGGCUCGAAAGCGUGGGGAGCAAACAGG